CCUCCCUGUGCUCCUUUCGAGAACGGGGUGGUGAAAGCCGUGGCUCUUGGUGCGGACGCGGUGCCAGCCCGCGGGGGCCCCCCACACCCGCCAACCCUCUCCCUCGACCCCGCUGCCUCCCGCCGGCGCCCGAAUGCCCUCUGCGUAGAACUAUUCCCCGCCAUCACCUUUCUCCUCUUCUGAGGCCGAGACACAAGCCGCCUCUCCAGCGACACAUCCUGUGCCGCCCCCUUCGAGCCUUUGGGCCCAGAGUUCAGGCCACGCCCCCAGCCCCGUGUCCCAGUUCUCAGUGGCUCAGUCCCUCUGUGCCCCGCCCCUGCAGGUGCACCGCCGACCCUCCUUCGGCUGCACCUUCUCUGGGUCAUCUCAGAAGCGACUCCGCCCACCCGUGUCUGCUCCCCCCUGGAGAACAGGGGACAGCCUUCCAUGCCGUGUACACAGCGUCAGCAGAGGUGACUCGAGGGCCACGUGCGGACAGGCCCUGCUCAGGUCAGGGGCCUUCUGCAGCCACAGGUGGCCCUGUGCGGCCAAGGUCACGUCUGCAAGGUCGCCCCGCCACCUCCCACAAGGCCGAGCCCGCUGAGCUUGGAACGGACUCCAGACGCACAACCCGGAGGAGGGGAGACGGGUCACAGCACGUCAGUCUGAGGUUCCCCGGCUGAGCGCUGAGUGCUCCGCGCUGCCCGGCCCUGCCCUCUGCAUUUCAGACAGAAAACACGCUCGACACCCUCUUCCCUGGGGUGUCCCCUUCUUCCAAGCAAUUUUCAUUAAAAACAAAUUCUUUUUAA